CUUCCUCCCCUUCUCUCCUGUCCCCUCCUCCUCCUCCUCGUCUCUCCCCGCUCGUCGCCUCCUCCUCCAAACAACACGGCGUUCCUACAUCUGCCGACAACAUGGAGGCAGUCAAAACCUUUAACAGCGAGUUAUACUCGCUCAAUGACUACAAGCCUCCAAUUUCCAAGGCCAAAAUGACACAGAUUACAAAGUCUGCAAUUAAAGCCAUAAAGUUCUACAAGCAUGUUGUUCAGGGCGUUGAGAAAUUUAUCCAAAAGUGUAAACCCGAAUACAAAGUACCCGGACUCUAUGUUAUUGACUCCAUUGUUCGGCAGUCCAGACAUCAGUUUGGACAAGAGAAGGAUCUUUUUGCUCCUCGGUUUAGCAAUAACAUAAUAAACACUUUUCAGAAUUUGUAUCGCUGCCCAACAGAUGACAAGAGCAAAAUUGUAAGAGUACUGAACCUGUGGCAGAAGAAUAACGUGUUCAGGAGUGAAAUUAUUCAGCCGCUUUUGGAUAUGGCUGCUGGCAUUCCUCCCCCUGUUGUCACUCCUGUCUUUCCCAGUACUGCAGCAGCUGUUAGCAACACACCAGGCACCCCAGCAACCCCUGUUACCCCAGCAAAUGUAGUUCAAGGCAUACCUGAUCCAUGGAUUGCUCAGAUAACCAAUACAGAUACAAUUGCAGCAGUGGCACAGAUUUUACAAAGCCCCCAGGGACAGCAGCUUCAGCAGUUGGUCCAGUCGUUGCAUGUCCAGCAACAGAAGCCACAACCCUCACUUCUACAAGCUCUAGAUGCUGGCUUAGUGGUUCAGUUGCAAGCCCUUACAGCACAGCUAACAGCGGCAGCUGCUGCCUCGAACACACUCAACCCGCUAGAGCAAAGUGUAUCUCUCAGUAAGAAGCUGAUAGACCGGUUUGAUUUUGGGGAGGAGAAUUCACAGAAUGAGGACUCAAAAAAGGAUGGUUCACAAAUUCCGCUUGUACCAGAUUCUGUGAACAACUCACUUUUCCAUCAGCUUGCAGAACAUUUACAGCAGCAAAAUCUAGAACAUCUACGCCACCAAUUCUUGGAGCAGCAGCAGCAGCAGCAGCAUACUCCAAAGAUGACAGCUCAGGAGAACCAGGAUAUGAUGUCUGAAUCAGAAAAUUCUGCUACCCCAUCGCAGGAUGACAGCCAGCAAGCCUUUAUGGAGAAAGAGGCACAGCUUCAUACUUCGCUAUCAUUACAGCAAGAGGAUAUGGAUAUUGAAGAAAUGCAAGAUGUAACAGAAGAGAUGUUUGAAAAGGAAGAGAAGAAAAUGAUAAAAGAUGAAAAACCAAGGGUUCGUUCCAAAUCACGAUCUAGAUCACCCAGAAAAAGGCGUUCUAGAUCCCGUUCAGGAUCCAGGAAGCGCAAGCAUCGAAAACGUUCUCGUUCAAGGUCAAGGGAAAGAAAACGUAAGACUUCAAGGUCAUACUCAAGUGAGAGAAGAGCACGAGAGCGAGAAAAAGAACGAAUGAAAAAAGGACUGCCUCCGAUUCGAUCCAAAACUCUAAGUGUAUGCAGUACAACUUUAUGGGUGGGACAGGUUGAUAAAAAGGCGACUCAACAAGACCUGACCAAUGUUUUUGAAGAGUUUGGACAAAUUGAAUCUAUCAAUAUGAUUCCUCCCCGUGGUUGUGCAUAUGUCUGCAUGGUUCACAGGCAAGACGCAUACCGGGCUCUUCAGAAGCUGAGUUCGGGCUCUUGUAAGAUCGGAUCUAAAAUUAUUAAGAUCGCUUGGGCGUUGAAUAAAGGUGUGAAAACUGAGUACAAGCAGUUCUGGGAUGUGGAUCUUGGCGUCACAUACAUACCAUGGGAGAAAGUAAAGCUGGAUGAUUUAGAUGACUUUGCAGAAGGAGGAAUGAUUGAUCAGGAGACUGUUAAUAGUGAAUGGCAAGCACAGAGGAUCCCAGAGCCUGUUGUAGUGAAGGAGCCUGUCCCCGUCCCUACUACUACAGUGCAGAGUCCAAUUGUUCCAAAAACCUCCAUAAUAACAACACAGCCAGAGGCAUAUAACCCACCUGUGGCAAUGCUUCAGAUUCCUGUGACACCAACUGUCCCUGCUGUAAGCUUGGUACCGCCUGCCUUCCCCGUCUCCAUGGCUGUCCCACCACCAGGCUACACUGCACUUCCCCCUCCUCCUUUUAUGCGUGCAAGUUUUAACCCUAGUCAGCCACCUCCAGGCUAUAUGCCUCCACCUGUACCACCACCCACUAUUCCCCCACCUUCUAUGGGCUCAGCUAUUCCUACAGCCUUGGUUCCUCGACUGCCCAUGUCUACAGACAGCAUUAAAGAAGUGUCGUAUGGUGGGUUGAUGCUGCCUAUGCCAUCAGUUGUAACCACUUCAGUAUCGACACCAUCUGUCUUUAAUACUUCCUUAAGUACGCAAGCAGACCAGGAAGAAAAAAGAGUACCUCCAACAGAGAGUGCCAAUGAAAGAACUGCUGCAACUUCAACACAAAGUACAGUUGUUAGCAGUACUGGGAUCUUAGGCGUGCAGCCACAACAUAUUACGGCAUCUGUUGCUCCUUUAACUAUGGGUGGAAGAAUAGCAGCCAUGCCUUUUUUGGAUAUUCGUCCUGGGUUACUUCACCAACCAGCAACAGCAAGAUUUGGUUUAUUAACUCCAGCGAUGCCCCCACCGCCACCACCAAGGAGCAUGCUUCCUCCAGGACUUAUUGAUCCUACUCUACAUUCUCUUCAGUUCACACAAGGAGAGAUUUUUCCCCGUCCCACUAUUCCCCCUAGACUAAAUAAUGAUAAUGCUCUGCCUCAAGAAGAAGGAAUCUCCCUGCAAAGCAGCACCAUUCGCCAAGAAAGAGAUCAGGACUACCGCUUCCCUCCCAUAGAGAGUCGUGAGACUGUGGGUCACUCUUCAGGAGGUGAACAGAAAAAAGAGGGCAUGCAGUUAGUUGCUAGCCGGGAAAAUGAAGGUGUGAGCUCUGCAGAGGACAUUGAUAUUAAUAUUAGACAUAUAGAGGAUGACCAUGAACCACAGGACAUGGCGGUUGUUGAUCCAAGUGAGAGUCAGGAGAAAAUUGUUACAGGACCUAUUUUAGGACAGUUGUCUGCAGAAGGUGCACAUAAAGACGAAAGGGAAGAUGAAAUGCAUUCUCUUGAAAGUCUAAGAGGUCCUGAUCAUCAUUCUUUUGAAAACAAGCUAAAAAAUAUUCCUGAUGAUCAUGAAGUACCAAUAAGACCACAGUUAGAUCCCAGACAACAUUUUGGCAGCCCCCCAGCAGAUUUAUUACUACCCUUUGGGAGACAUCCUCUUGAGAUUAGAGAAACAUUUGGCAGACCACCACUAGAGGGUAGAGAUCAUUAUGGGAGACCACCCCCAGAGGGUAGGGAUCACCUUGGCAGACCUCCUGUGGAUGGUAGAGAUCACUAUGGACGCCCAAUUUUAGAGGGUAGGAACUCCUUUGGACGUUUACCAGUGGAUGGUAGAGAGAUUUUUGGAAGGCCACCAUUAGAUAUGCGGGAUCAUUUUGGAAGGCCUCCACCAGAUAUUGGUAGAAGGGAGCAUUUCCCCCCAGAUAAACCAUGGGGCCAUAGAGGCGAUUUUGACGAAAGACCACACCCGUCUUUCACUGGUUUUGGUGGCCAAAAGGGCUUUCCUGAUGACAGACCUUCUCGUCAUGGAAAUUAUCGGCAUGAGCAGAGGAAUGCGCCAGGUUGGAACAGAGGAUUUGAAUCUGAUGAUCACAGGGAUUAUGAUGACCGCCGUCGUUCUUGGGAAAGACAUAGGGAUAGGGAUGAUCGAGAUUUUGGUUUCCGCAGAGAAGUUAAUGGCAACCGAUUUGGAAGAGAGAGACAAACAAGCAACUGGAUGCCACCUCAGCAGCAAUAUUUUGAAUAUUUCCCAGAGGCUACUACCACGAAGGAAAAAGCUGAUGAGGUGUCUCAGGUUAAUGGUGAAAAGCCAGAGACUGAGAGUCAACAACAAACUCUUAAAAAUGCUAAUGAACCUGAACUGUGUGAAAAGGAAACCCCUGACAAAAAGAAUGAAGAGAGAGGUGCCGUGGAGGCUGAAGUAAAGAGUCAACCAGUUGUUGAAAGCACAGAAACUGAGGGGACAUAAUCAUCACUCAGUAGGUGGUAUUUGUUUCUUGGAAGACAGAAGGAAAAUUGUGGAAUGAGAAUCAGCACCAACACGAUAAAACCAUGGUCACGUUGAUUAUGAUGCAAUGGAGACAAAUGGAAAGACAAGCAUGUCGAAGAAGAUAUUGGGUUCAUCCAAUUAACUCAGCAUGAUGCACAAGAGGCCUAUUUUCCGCUUUAUAUCAAGAUCUCCGCCGUCAUCCUGAAAAAUGUUUGGAUUAUCUAUGGUUGAGUGUGUCAAGCUUUGAUGAGCUUGUGCAGAAACUUCACCUAUGUAGAAGGAAUACCAAAUUCAGAUGGUGUGUCACCCGAAGAACUCUUAAUGGUUACCCUAAGGUUUCCUUGCCACAGGAGAAAGUCUAUCAAGUCUUCACUUUCAGGAACCAACUCACCCAUUCCAAGUGGGAGAUAUCGUGCUGAUAAAGAAAUUAAAGAAAGGAAAAUUUGCAGGAGACUUCACCUACGGAGCACUGACUACAGUGGUAGCCGUGACCCGCACAGCAGUACUCACGGAAGAAGCACCUACUUGGAUCCAUGCCACCAGAGUGAAACUGGUAAAGGAGGCACCCCAUAAGGAGGUAAUAACGGGGACAGACAGUCCUGACCUUGAAAAAGGACAAAGUAAGCUACUAAUGGGAGCAGACAGCUCUGACCUCCACCAGGAUGCACUCCCUCAAUUCUGGAAGAUGGCACAGAUGGUCCACUUGGACUGUGGGAUUAGUGACGAUCCUAAUGACUCUGCCGGAGGAUAAAAAAAGCUGAAGUUGCUAUAACUCAGAAAGGUGGAAUCACUACCUUCUGGUACAAUUUUUCCAGUACUCAAGUUGCAACUUACUCCUUCUGUUUAUGCAGCAUAAUGAAGUGCAGUCCUUCCACGAGAUGCGGCAACCACUAUAAGAAUUGCCAGGCUUAUAUCUGUAUUACUGACCCUUAUUGAGGUAAUAGAUGCGCAUACUGGGGGUCAGUAGUAUGGAAUACAGGAGAAGACUGGGGGUAUAAACCACAGAAUGCCCUUAAUCGAAAGGAUAAGAAUGGUAAAUCCUUGAUUAGUAGAAUGAUAAUUAUCAACGGAAGGGACUGUCACAUAGAUGUUAGCCUAUAUCCUACAGGGUGGGCAUGCCCUAAGAUGGUGUCUGAGAAUGAAAAUAAUUAUAAACAUAGAAAAUCCCAACAGGUGAUGAAGGAGAUUACGUGCUGGGAUGGUACUUUCACGACAUAGGGGGGGCAGAGACUUCAAUGGUCACCAAACACUUUAAAAUAAGAGAUAUGUGUCAAUCCUCAGAAUGGGUUCAAGUUGGCAAAUGGCAAACAGAGGGGGCCUGUCCCUAUUGUGCCCUACUCUUGUCCCCAUUCACACAAAAUACAUCCUAUUUACACAGUUCCCCUCCCCCAACCCACCUAAACCCGAGGACAUUUAUGACACGAUACUAUGAGGUCUCAGGAAGGCAUAGGAUGUACCUCCCAAAACCUCAUAUGAACCCGUUCAAUAUCCAUUUCAUGGGGUCUCUGGAUAAUUUGAGUUUGCAUCCUGAACCCCCACACGAACUGACAUGUCCCUUGGAUCUUAGGCUUCAGGACUUUGGUGAGAUUAAGUCCUGAGCCUCCGCUGGUUGAGUUUGUAAGGUGCCAUCUGGUUUUGGUUCAGUUGGUUAACCAGUCUCUAAACCCUCCGGUGCAUAGUUCCAUGUGGAUAACGAUGACCAGAACCAGGAGAUGGAUCCGGACAGGUUCUUCCACCCGAACACCUCUAAAAAUGUGGAUCUAUUUGUAACAUAGAAACAGGUAACAAACACACAACAUAGACAUACACGGGGAACAAACGGUGUAACAAAUAGCACAGGGGUUUCAAAUGUUGCCCAGCCUAGAUUGGCUAUUCUGACCCCUCAGCACCUGGUGAGGCAUGUGUCGCUGAGAGGUAACCCCUUUAUGGCCAAUCUGACUAGACCCCACUGCACGAUUUGUUACCUGGCCAACACUAUCGGACACAUUGCAAUUACUUGCACAAGGGCAAUUCUUUGCAAUGUGUCCCUUGUUCCCACACCUGAAGCACCUGACCUGGCUUUCUAUCCUUCGUGUUUUUUCCUUACCUGUUUUGCAGUGCUUCGCUAUAUGAUCCAAGCCACCACAUGCAAAGCAUCCGAUGUUUGCUCGGCAUGGCUUAGGUCCGUCCACACUGCAACCGCGCUCCCUGAAUUGUUCCAUCCUCAGGGAGGCAAUUUUCACGAUAUUUCUUUUUCCAAAAGUCAGGGAAAAAUCUCUGUUAGUCUGGACAGGCUUAGUGAUUUGGCCUGUCACAGACUACUCUCCCUCAUUUUUGCCCUAGACAGGGCACAAUUUUAGAUUCCGGCCCUGACUUUAUGGAAAAAGAAAGGGCCGGCACCAAAUUGGUGAUGACCUGUUGCAUGCCAGUCAUUAUCUGGGAGCUUACAGCAACCUGAGCCUUCAAUUUGGCUAUCGUCACAUCAGUAGAGGCAG